rnacentral:ncRNA from 1 species
CUAGAUGCGAAGAAUGGGAAGAGUACGACAUUUACCCUUUUAGAGAGGAAAAUCAGUAGCUGAGAGAUUUUCUAAGGAUGUUAAACGUCAGAAGGUCGCCCAGGAGCAGCUUUUUUGAGGUGGGAAUCACGUAGGAAAAGUCGGCGAACAGCCGUUAUCAUGACAUGAGUGUACAGAAAACGUACGUUAUUUUCUGUAAACAAAGGUGGUACCGCGAAUGUAGCUUCUUUUCGUCCUUUGA